UACGGAGGGUGCAAGCGUUAUCCGGAUUCACUGGGUUUAAAGGGUGCGUAGGCGGUCCUGUAAGUCAGUGGUGAAAGCUCUCAGCUUAACUGAGAAACUGCCAUUGAUACUGCAAGACUUGAGUACAGAUGAUGUUGGCGGAAUAUGACAUGUAGCGGUGAAAUGCAUAGAUAUGUCAUAGAACACCGAUUGCGAAGGCAGCUGACAAAACUGUAACUGACGCUGAGGCACGAAAGUGUGGGGAUCAAACAGG
rnacentral:rRNA from 1 species